rnacentral:rRNA from 1 species
CCUACGGGAGGCAGCAGUGGGGAAUUUUGGACAAUGGGCGAAAGCCUGAUCCAGCCAUGCCGCGUGCAGGAUGAAGGCCUUCGGGUUGUAAACUGCUUUUGUACGGAACGAAAAGGUUCUUUCUAAUAAAGAGAGCACAUGACGGUACCGUAAGAAUAAGCACCGGCUAACUACGUGCCAGCAGCCGCGGUAAU